rnacentral:rRNA from 1 species
AACGAACGCUGGCGGCAGGCUUAACACAUGCAAGUCGAGCGCCCCGCAAGGGGAGCGGCAGACGGGUGAGUAACACGUGGGAACGUACCCUUUUCUACGGAAUAACCCAGGGAAACUUGGACUAAUACCGUAUGUGCCCUUCGGGGGAAAGAUUUAUCGGAAAAGGAUCGGCCCGCGUUGGAUUAGCUAGUUGGUGGGGUAAAGGCCUACCAAGGCGACGAUCCAUAGCUGGUCUGAGAGGAUGAUCAGCCACAUUGGGACUGAGACACGGCCCAAACUCCUACGGGAGGCAGCAGUGGGGAAUAUUGGACAAUGGGCGCAAGCCUGAUCCAGCCAUGCCGCGUGAGUGAUGAAGGCCUUAGGGUUGUAAAGCUCUUUCAGCUGGGAAGAUAAUGACGGUACCAGCAGAAGAAGCCCCGGCUAACUCCGUGCCAGCCGCCGCCGUAAAAC